rnacentral:rRNA from 1 species
CCUACGGGAGACAGCAGUGGGGAAUUUUGCGCAAUGCUCGUAAGAGUGACGCAGCGACGCCGCGUGAAUGACGAAGGCCUUCGGGUCGUAAAGUUCUUUCGACAGGGAAGAAAAUGCCUAUAAGUAACUGUGUAUGUAUUGACGGUACCUGUAUAAGCAGCCCCGGCUAACUCCGUGCCAGCAGCCGCGGUAAUACGGAGGGGGCGAGCGUUGUUCGGAGUGACUGGGCGUAAAGAGCACGUAGGCGGUGUUGUAAGUCAUUAGUCAAAGACUAGAGCUCAACUUUAGUAAGGCUAGUGAUACUAUAAUACGAGAGUAUCAGAGAGGAUUGCAGAAUUCCUGGUGUAGCGGUGAAAUGCGUAGAUAUCAGGAGGAAUACCGUUAGCGAAGGCGGCAAUCUGGCUGGAAACUGACGCUGAGGUGCGAAAGCGUGGGUAGCAAACAGGAUUAGAUACCCCAGUAGUC